AUGAUCAACAUCUCUGUGUGCAGUAUGCUUGAGAAUAGCUUUAAGGCUGAGUAACAAGGUUUGAAGAAAGUUAUUUCAUUUUUUUUCUGAACAUAUAUUGUUUGAUUCGUAAUUUAGUUUACAUGGUAUGACAUCAUUUAUUUUUGGUUUAAACUUUAGAGUAUAUAUGCUAAUUGUAUGCUCUAGAUCAGUUUAAAAAGGAUGCAGAUGUCUAGUCGUAAUAGGCCAAUCUACAAACUUUCAUAGCCUGAAGUUUAUGAACAGUGAAUACACAUCGGUUCUAACUUCUGUGUUUGUAAAGAUGCUAAAAGUAUUCUCGCUCUAUUAAUGUCUUCUUAGGUAAAAUAGAUUUGAUUUACAUGUGCCAGUAUUUUGGAAGCAUAAUAGACACUGAGCUUCAAACGUUUGGUCAGGUUCAUCAUUUUUAAUGCACCAACACCAAUGAGCCCCUUCUCAGCACAAUGAAAUUGUUUACAUGUAUGCAUUUUUUUCUUGCUAUUGUUAUGAAAAAAGCAUUAUUUCUGAAAUAUUGACUUCCAAUUUAUGAAAUAUUGAUUUCCAAUUUCUGAUAGUAUCUUCAGGGCCAGUCUACAAACUUUCACAGCCUGAAGUUUAUGAACAGUUAAUACACAUCGGUUCUAACUUCUGUGUUUGUAAGGAUGCUAAAAGUACUCAGACUCUGUUAAUGUCUUCUUAGAUAAAAUAGAUUUGAUUUAUAAGUGCCAGUAUUUUGGGAGCAUAAUAGACACUAAGCUUCAAACGUUUGGUCAGGUUCAUCAUUUUUAAUGCAGCAACACCAAUGAGCCCCUUCUCAGCACAAUGACAUUGUUUACAUGUAUGCAUUUUUUUCUUGCUAUUGUUAUGAAGAAGCUUUAUUUCUGAAAUAUUGAUUUCCAAUUUAUGAAAUAUUGAUUUUAAUUUCUGAUAGUACCUUUGGUGCAUUUCUUAACUUCUUUAUUCCAGCCUUGGGAUACUGUAUAAUCUUACCAAAUGAACAUAGAUAGGUCUAUGUUUGGUUUAUGUUCAUUACUGUCAUUUUUCUGUUGUGUGCUCUGACAAGGUGGACUUAACACACCCUAAUCUACUAUGACAAACAGAGCAGGGCCUGCUGUAGCCAAUGAGUUGGAUACAGUGGACACAAUCACAUCAAUUUUGCGGUUCAAUUACUUUGCAAAAGGUUGUAUAUGCAGCCUCUCUUUUGUAGUCAACUCUUUUAUAAUGGCUAAACCUAGAAUUUCUUUUACGCAAACUCGACAUGAUCCAAAUCAGUUGCUCCCAGUCAGGAGCUGAUUUGAGUCUAGCGCCAAAUCACCUCAAACUUUUAUAGCCCAAUUUGUCUCUCUGUGUUGGCAUCAUGAGCCAUCCGUCCCAUUCAGCUUGAUAGCAGGUUAUGACACAGCCAGGCAGAAACCUGGAAGGAUUACCCAGGUCUAAAUUGGACCAUUGCAUCAGCACACAUCUCUUGCUCUCGCCCUAUUUUAGAUAUAUUGUUAUUUUGUUCUCACACAUUCGUGCUUUGCUCCUUGUUUUGCAGUUAUGCAUAUAUCUAAUAAAAGUGGAAGGAUACCAUAUGCCACUUUUUUCUAAUAUAAGAUAACCCUUCAUAUUUCAUUUUUCUCUUAAUGUAGGACAACUAGAUUUAUAUACUCUCCAUAGUAGCUGCUCUUGACAGAAAAGAAAGCAACAGAAGUGCCAUUCAUACAUGUCAAAAGAUUAAUUUGCAGCAAUAAAUUAUAAUUCCACAGGUCUGAAUUGUGUGUACAUACAUACAUGUAAAAAAAUAAUUUGCAAGGACAGGUAAUAAUUCCACAUGUCCGACUUGGUGGGUUACACAUCCUACUAUCCCCUUGUUUGUUUUUUAAAUAAUCUGGUCGGAUGACAAUUCUACUAUUUGCUUCUAUAUUUUCUCCAAAUCUCCCCUUCUCUUGUUCUGUUACAGCUUGUUAAUAUCACUUGCUGCAGACAAAGUACGUCAAAAGGCAACGUCUAAGUAAUAUGUUGAUACACAAAGGUAAUCCUUCUCAUAGCUUCUGCUCCAACAUGUUUUGCGAAUUUAUUGCAUUAUUGGUGUAUAAAAGGACUGAAGUUGUGUUUUGAAUACUAUAUGACAACACCUUUUUGGGUUGAAAUGUGUGGAAUAAUAGCACUGAUCCUUAGAGACUUCAUCCAACGAGGUAAUUGGCACUUGCCAAAGCCUGUUCUCCAUACGUGUAAGACUAUUUGUCCGCUGCAUGAUUUGUGAAGACUAACAUUUUAUUGUACCACUUAGUUUAUGUCUUGCAUGUGCAUUAUGUUAUGUUUAUUUCUAUAUAAGUAGUGUUGAUAUCGCCACUUGGAUUAGCUUCGUUGAGAGAACAUUUUAUAGGUAGUAGGUAACACUUACAUCACCUUCCUUUGCUUACACGUUGACAGAACACUUUAUAGGUAGCAGUUGCAUUAGCAUGUUUUCCUUACAUGUAAGGCAUCACCGAUCCGCUGCAUGAUAUGUGGUGAUAAUAUGUUAUUUAGCCUCUUGAAUACUUAAACCCAUUGCUUUGUGUGUUCCAUGUGCUUUAUAAUCUAUUUAUUUAACUAUUUACAUAUACUGAGAGAUUACUAGGUCAACAAUAGAUUUAUUCUAUUUACAAUAACCUUCUCUUGCAUAACGCAGAUAGAAGGUUACAUGUGCGUUGUUACUAUCUCACGCCAACUCAGACCUCUACUGGAUAACGUUGCACACCAUGCGACUAGACAGACACUAAAUUUGGGUACCUCUACAAAGCACUUAAUUUAUUGUGCCUCUUUCGAAAAAGGCCAGUUGCGAGCAACAUAUGGGUUGUUCUCGUGAAGGAAGUUGAACACCUCGUCCAACAGCUGCAACAGAAAAGCUCAAGGUCAAAUUUCAAAAAAAGAACGUGGGCAUGAGCGUGCGCAAUACACUAGUGUUGGGACCAUGCUUCGUCGCCGAAGGUCCUGCAAAAAGAAACAGCUUCGGCUGAAGCUGCUUGAACAUGAUGCCGAAGACACCGUUCACGAAGCUUCGGAGCUACAACAUAUCCGAAGACGAAGGGUCGAACCGACUUAAAGAUAGAAUGACCAUUUAGCCCAUAAGGGUCUGAGUCAUUGUUGUAAACUUUUAUGAGGGGCAUAAUUGUAAUUCCUCAUGAGUUGUGUCCUGUGCCUAUAAAUAGUGAACAGUAUUCCUUUACUGUUCACGGAUUCCUGUAAUUGCCAACGCAUCACUCGGGAAUUAUUGUUUGUCAAGGCAAAGGUAUAAAUGUACCU
rnacentral:lncRNA from 1 species